rnacentral:rRNA from 1 species
GAUGAACGCUGACAGAAUGCUUAACACAUGCAAGUCUACUUGAAUUUGGGUUUUUUAACUUCGAUUUGGGUGGCGGACGGGUGAGUAACGCGUAAAGAACUUGCCUCACAGUUAGGGACAACAUUUGGAAACGAAUGCUAAUACCUGAUAUUAUGAAUAUAUGGCAUCAUAUAAUUAUGAAAGCUAUAAGCGCUGUGAGAGAGCUUUGCGUCCCAUUAGCUAGUUGGAGAGGUAACGGCUCACCAAGGCGAUGAUGGGUAGCCGGCCUGAGAGGGUGAACGGCCACAAGGGGACUGAGACACGGCCCUUACUCCUACGGGAGGCAGCAGUGGGGAAUAUUGGACAAUGGACCAAGAGUCUGAUCCAGCAAUUCUGUGUGCACGAUGACGUUUUUCGGAAUGUAAAGUGCUUUCAGUUGGGAAGAAAAAAAUGGCGGUACCAACAGAAGAAGUGACGGCUAAAUACGUG